AUCAUAGGCAAGGGGGAGGCCAGGAGUUGGGAAAAAACGGUUUUGAGUCAGAGUCUGAAUGAUGAGGCAUGGGGCACGGGGCUGGUAUCACAGGGCCCAGUGCUCAGAAGGGUCCUGUGCUUGGCUUGACAGUGCUUCCAUUCUGGAAGUCUUCAUCAUUUUAUCUUCGAGCCUGUGUUUUGCAAGUAAGGCCCGAUGGGAUGAGGAAGCAUGAAUGUGAGCAGAGGAGAUGUACAUAAGGUGCACGUCCAUUGUCUCCUGCAGUCCCAUUUGAGCACAGUGUUUGUGAUGUCCAUGGGCACAGAGGUUCAGUGGACCCAGACACGUGGAAGCUUAGCAAGACUGAGAGUGAGCACAGGGUGAGCACUGCUGGCCCCAAGGGACCGUGCUUUCUGCUCAAAUCAGAACUUUCAAUGCAGACAAAGGGCAGUUGCACUGUAAGAAACAUGACUACCAAGGAACCUUACCAUGUCCUUUUAUUUGUCAAACCACCUACAAUGAAAACAGAUCAUUGAAGCAAAGAGACAGAUAAGACGACCCAGAGUGCAUGUCUUUUCUGUCCUAACUUAGUCAUCCUCAGGGUGGAGAAUUUGGUAGAAUAUGAGCAUAUCAACAAGCGAAAUGAAAACAAUUUUUAUUUUUAUUUUUACUUUUUUGUGAAGCAUUUCCAUUGUUUUGGUUGAGAAUGAAAUCUACAUAUACACAGAUGCAAAUACAAGCCUAGGAAACAAAAAUUGUGUAAUUUCAGUGAUUCUGCUUCAGAGCUAAACGCACUUAUAUUUGCAUUUAAAACUGGCAUUGCAUGAUAUAAAGAUGAGCAGUAAAAAUACUAAUAAUUUAAAAUUUUAAUUUUUUUAAAAUUUGGAGCAACUUUAAAUAGCAACCGAAAACUGCCAUGACAAAUUGAGAGAUUGCAGAAGGAAGCUUUAUAUUUUAGGAACUUUAAUGGCAUUUUUCCUGCUUUUGGAACAAGGGGGCUCACAUUUUCAUCUUGCACUGGGCCCCACAAUUCAUGAAGCUGGCCAUGGUAGGGUGCCUCGCUUCUUUUCCUGAAGGCCAGCAGCUGGGUUUAUGCCCCAGUGAGGGAGAUGGGUGGGGUUCUACUCUGGAGACACUGAACAGCUGCAGAAAAACAAAAACGAAAACAAACGAAAACAAAAACAAAAAACCCAACUUCCAUUAACUUAGGAGUUCACCAAUAAUCACUGGACUUCCCCCCCACCGCCUGCCCCACUCACACUAGAGAAACACCUACAAGGGCCCGGGCCCUCCCAUGCAUACUGGAUUUCCCAUCUGUUUUAGGGCUUUGCUCUAUGAACAGACAGCCAAAGACCUGCAAAUAUCAGAGGAAAGCUUCCAACUGGCCAAAGAGCAGCCAGAUAAACAUCAGAUCCCCCCCGGGCGGGGUGGUGGGGGAAGAGGGCAUGAGGAGACUAUCUGAUAUGAUAAUGCAUUGGGGGAAAAAAAAACAAAAAAAACUCCUGAGAUUCCUGUAAAUCAAGCAUUUGAAACGGUAUCGAUGACUGAUAUAUAGAAAACCAUGAAGUCUCAAAAAGUGUGACAAAAAUUGAUGGCACGAGAGAAAGAAGGACAUCAGAAAGCACUACAUACAUGGCCUUUCUCUUAUAAUGUGACCACUCUGCGGUGGGUUAAAUAAAAUUCUUCUAUGACUUUACUUGGAGGGUCUAGUGAGGACAAGUAGAAAAGAGUGCAGGAAGCCACUGCUCAUCUAGCAGCAGCAGAAGUCAGGGUAAUUACCGAGGAUUAUGGGGAUACCCUCCAGAGGAAACAGGCAAGGAGGUUGGAAGCGAUGCCUCCCGGGAGCACGGCCGAGCAGCGAGAGGCUGAGAGAGUAAGCGGGGCUGGUGGUUUUUCUUCAAACAUCCUUUACUUCCCUUUAAUUUUUAAACUCUGCACCUGCAUUGCAUGGACGGAUCUUCGCGGUAAAGGAAAAGAAAUCCCAUAAAAUGAAAAGAAAAGGAUGUCGGUCGCCUUCCAGAGUUUCCAGGGAGGCUGGAGAGAGGUAUGGUUGGGAGCGGGGCAGGGACCAGAGAAGCGUCGUGGGGAGGACGCGGCGGCUACCUCUGCCGGGCAGCGCGGGCCCCGGCCGGCACCGCCUUCCCCGCAGUGGCGUCCGGGGACCUACCGGGGAGCACGUGCUCUCCGCCCUCCCUGCGUCCUUUUGUGGUGGCCCCCGGGUCCCGUGUCUUGGGUGGUGGGGUCUGAUUGGCUGACGAGGUCACGAGUCCACGAACGGCAGCCAGUUUGGUGGGGGUAGCAGACAAGAGGCCUUUCUGUAGAGGGGAUGAACUCUGCUUCCGGGAAAGGUUCGUAUGGCAGAAGGUGUCUAAUUUCCGGGAAGGAGAUUCGGAUGUUGGGCCGCUGAACGGAAGAAUAUCAGAGGCAUAUUAUGGUCACUUUCUGAUGAAAGUACAGACCACUAUGUCAGAGCAAAACGUCGCAUCCUCUCUUGCUCAAGAGAGCAGAAUUAGGAUUUGGAAGAACUUUCUAAGAAUCCGUCUGUGCCAACAAGACUAUCUCAGCUACAGGAGAGCUGGCUGGAAGUAAUGAGCGUCGCAGUCAGGGACGGUUGGCUGAACUCACUAUAUUUUCUCCCUAGAACUGACUUCCCAGCAAUCCUACUGAAGUCACAGAAUACUGCAUGUGCAAAGCCAAAUUAAAACACAGAAGUCAUCUUCGUUUAUUUGGUCCUUGUUGGGGUCGUGUCUGUUUGAAAAUUUAAGAAGCAGAUGAUGUCUGAGAAUAUUCCUGAAGCUCAGAUUCCAAGGACCAGCAGAAUUGACCAGAAGGAACCUCAGAAAGGAAACAGGAGGGGAGAGCUGGAGAAAGCUGGACGGCAGCUGUGUUGACUGGAGGAACCUCGAGGAGCUGAGAGAAGGAGAGGAUCGCCACAGGCAAAUGCUGGCCAACGCCACGUCCGACUCCCAGCCUUUCCCAAGUGGCCCGUCGGCUCCCGGUGCUCCACUCACAGCCCACAGAGGCCCGCAAGUGUCCGGGGGUCCCCUGGGCCACCAGCCCCCCAGGGAAGAGGAGGGUCACGUGCUGAGGGCUCAGGGAUCGAGGCUCCCCUGCGGGUGUGGCUCGGCCCACGGCAGCCGGAUCCUGGUCACCCACAGCCUCAGCGCAUCUGCAAGUGUUUUCUGUCUUCACAGUCGUUUUCACUGAUCUCUUCUUGGUUUAGUUGCUGUCAUUUAAUUGCCGCUACGGUCGUUCUUAUUCAAGUAGAUAUAAUUUUGGGAUAGUGUUUUUCAAAUAAAGAUUCAUUUGAUAUAA